UACGUAGGGUGCGAGCGUUGUCCGGAAUUAUUGGGCGUAAAGGGCUCGUAGGCGGUUUUGUCGCGUCGGGAGUGAAAACCUCGGGCUUAACUCGGGGCUUGCUUUCGAUACGGGCAGACUAGAGGUAUGCAGGGGAGAACGGAAAUUCCUGGUGUAGCGGUGAAAUGCGCAGAUAUCAGGAGGAACACCAGUGGCGAAGGCGACGUCUGGGGCUGAAAACUGACGCUCAUUCCCCGAAAAGCGUGGGGGAGCAAA
rnacentral:rRNA from 1 species